rnacentral:rRNA from 1 species
CGCAGCCGCGGUAAUUCCAGCUCCAAUAGCGUAUAUUAAAGUUGUUGCAGUUAAAAAGCUCGUAGUUGAAUUUCGGGGUUCUACUGUUGGUCGGGCAAUUGUCCAUACUGGCAUGUGGAAUUUCUACCUUCUGGGGAACCAUCAUGUUAUUAAUUUAGCGUGGUGGGAAACCAGGACCUUUACCUUGAAAAAAUUAGAGUGUUCAAAGCAGGCUUACGUCUGAAUACAUUAGCAUGGAAUAAUAAAAUAGGACGGUGGUCCUGUUUUGUUGGUUUCUGAAUCACCGUA